UACCCUGUAGUCCGGCCGUAACGAUGCAGGCUAGGUGCCGCGUGGGCUUAGAGCCCACGCGGUGCCGCAGGGAAACCGGUAAGCUUGCCGCCUGGGGAGUACGGCCGCAAGGCUGAGACUUAAAGGAAUUGGCGGGGGAGCACCACAAGGGGUGGAACCUGCGGCUCAAUUGGAGUCAACGCCUGGAAUCUUACCAGGGGAGACCGCAGGAUGACGGCCAGGCUAACGACCUUGCCUGACUCGCGGAGAGGAGGUGCAUGGCCGUCGCCAGCUCGUGUUGUGAAAUGUCCGGUUAAGUCCGGCAACGAGCGAGACCCCCCCCUUAGUUGGUAUCCCGGUCUCCGGACCGGGACCACACUAAGGGGACUGCCGCCGUUAAGGCGGAGGAAGGAGGGGGCCGCGGCAGGUCAGCAUGCCCCGAAACCCCUGGGCCGCACGCGGGUUACAAUGGCAGGGACAGCGGGAGCCUACCCCGAGAGGGGGAGGCAAUCCCU
rnacentral:rRNA from 1 species